AAGUCGUAACAAGGUUUCCGUAGGUGAACCUGCGGAAGGAUCAUUACCUUUCAAUGCAGCAGAAUUGGGAUGGUUGAGUAUCUCGCCUCUCAGUUCUGCCUGUAUUCUACCCUUGUUUGUCAUAUACUAUUAUUUCCUCGGCAGGCUUGUCUGCCGAGUGAAACCAUUUAUAACCUUUUUAAUUUUCAAUCAGCGUCUGAAAAAAUUUAAUAAUUACAACUUUCAACAACGGAUCUCUUGGUUCUG
rnacentral:misc_RNA from 1 species